rnacentral:rRNA from 11 species
CGGAUUAAUUCGAUGCAACGCGAAGAACCUUACCAAGGCUUGACAUAUAGAGGAAAAGUGUAGAAAUACACUCCCCGCAAGGUCUCUAUACAGGUGGUGCAUGGUUGUCGUCAGCUCGUGUCGUGAGAUGUUGGGUUAAGUCCCGCAACGAGCGCAACCCCUAUCCCUAGUUGCUAGCAGUUCGGCUGAGAACUCUAGGGAGACUGCCGGUGACAAACCGGAGGAAGGUGGGGAUGACGUCAGGUCAUCAUGGCCCUUACGGCCAGGGCUACACACGUGCUACAAUGGUGGUGACAGAGGGCAGCUAGGCGGCGACGUCGUGCUAAUCCCAAAAAACCAUCUCAGUUCGGAUUGCUCUCUGCAACUCGAGAGCAUGAAGUCGGAAUCGCUAGUAAUCGCGUAUCAGCAUGACGCGGUGAAUACGUUCCCGGGCCUUGUACACACCGCCCGUCGCACCAUGGGAGUUGGUUUUACCCGAAGGUGGUGCGCUAACCGUAAGGAGGCAGCCAACCACGGUAAGGUCAGCGACUGGGGUGAAGUCG